UCAGAAACACCCGGGUGACAGGUAGACAGCCCCCGUCCGUGCGGCCGUCCCCUCCCUCCCUUUCGUGGUGCCGCACCUCCCCCUCCACCUCCUCACUCGAUAGUGCCCAGCGCCGCCACCUCCCUCGUGCUGGGGAUGGGACCGCCGCCGCCAGGUCUCCGCGGCUCCGCCUGGGGAUGCGGUGUCGCACGCCUUUUUCGGAGGAGGGGGCAUGGAUGGGGUCGCGGCAGGGGCUGGGGAGGGCACGUCCUCGAUGAUUGAUGGUCGCUCCCAGUGGCGGAGGAGGUGUUGAAGGUGAGCGAACAAGGGUGCAGUGCCGCUUGACUCGGUGGCAUCAUGCCUCAACGGCGGUGGCGGCUGCCCACGGGACCGAUGUCACCGCCGGCUCUCUGGUGGCGCUACUCUCCACCUCGAGCGGCGCAAGAUCCGGUCGAACAGCGGCUGGCCAUGGCGAUCCCCCUCAUGCUUGUUGUGCUCCCCCUCGGCCUGCUCAUCCAGGUAGCCUCCCUCCCCACCGGAGCUCAGCUCGAUUUGUUUUCAAUCUUCCUGUUUGGGCGGCCGGGCUCAUCUGUAGCGAAUUGGCAAAAGAUUUGACUUUUAACCCUUCCAAGACACGAAGCAAGCACGCACACAUUUUUUUCCCCUCCUCCGAAUUCCCAUUAGUCCUAAUUCAGUACAUUCUCGAUGUACUGUAAACAUUUAGUAGUUUAUGUAUAUUCUGCAAGUUUACGUGUCUAGAAAACGUUGGAUACAUCCAUUUCUAUGAUGCAAACUGCUAAUGCUCGCCCGACUUGACGACAUGUUCCCAAUGAAAGGAAACUACAACAUUGCUUUGUGAGAAGCAACUGAGGACUGAAGCACACGACCAAUAACUAACAUGGAUGAUCUUAUGUAGUUCAUUAGAUUUGAUUACUAACUCAUGAACAGGUUUAGCUUUGCGUACAUGAUUUACCAGUUUGUUCCAUGGCAGUAGACAAUUAAAAGAAAACCUUUAGUUUUCGUCUCUAUGUGUUGGCAGUACUCAUUUUGCUACAUUAAGGCACUGAGGAGAUGAGCUGUUCGAUUGGAAGUAUGGCAUGAAUCGUUAGCUCCUUUUUUUUUUUGCAUCCCAAUAUGAGCAUUUCUUUUCUUUUCUUCUUUUUUUUUGCCAAAAUGAAUUCAUGUUUAUUGCUAGAUACUUUGUGGAGUUAGGUGUUCUUGCAGGAAGCUAUUGUGAUAUCUCCAAAGCUGGUUUUGAAGGUGAUGGAAUGCAGAUAUGUUGUGGUGAGAAAGUAUCAAAUAUAAUCUAGCAUUAAGUUACCGCUGAGUUGCUUCACUGGUGCCAGAUGCUUUGUUACUCAUUUGCAAUGUGAAAGUGUUCGUUCUUUCCGAUUGGCAUUGGCAAUCAGGUUGUCAUCUCUGCUUCUGCUGUGGAAGAAUAAUUUGAACUGAAAGGAAAAUUGUGAUGGAAGUUUUACAUCGUGACUGGAAAUAUCCAAAAGAAACCCAUUCACCAAGAGGGUAAAUACUUUAAUCAGAGGUAUACCUGAAGAGAUGUUUAAGGUUCUGCAAACUGGCAAACGAAAAGGAAGCUGCAGAUAGAUGGUCCAAUUGCCCAAGGAAGCUCUACUACGGUAUGAAUAGUUUGAGUAGGUGUGCACAUCAUGAUUCAGAUAUCGAAGCAUGCAUCAACUCGAGGUGAUAAUAUGCAUGCAGCAUGCGCUCCUGCAAUUUUUGAUUGUUUACCAUCAUGAUUGGCUAUCUUAUUGUUGAUCUAUUUCAUUAAGAAGGAACAGUAUAGCAUAUUUUUCUUAAACACUAAACAUGCUUUUUUUUAAUAUUUCCAAAUGCAUGCAGGGUGCUCACCGUAACCAGUUUGUCUAUAAUGGCUCUUUCAGGAUGAGGCUGCUUCUUCGAAUAACCAGUUUUCUAUAAUGGCUGCUUCUAUCAUGCUGGUGCCUGUUUAUGUGAUACCAAAGUAAAUGUUGUGAGAAAAAAAAUUAUUCUUGUCCUCUUAAUUUUUUUUUCAUAUGUGUGCAUGAUAUCAUCAAAUAGUUUUUUAAAGUUUGCUUUAUAUUGAAUAUGAGCACUACUGGUUCGACUACAGAUAAGGGCUAGGAACUAUUGAUUAAAACGGUGCUUAAUUUAGUUGAAUAUAAUACUUAUGCUCGGUUGGUGAAAUCUAUGGAUUGAUAGGUAUUGCUAUUAAUGGAAGACGUUCAAUGUCCGUUCCUAUAGUUUUCAUCGUUCUAUUGGAAUGGUUGCAUGCUUCAUAUUUUCGUAGAUGUAGUGUUGUUAAUAUUGUUUAUAGAAUAUUUAAAAGGAAGAAAAAUGGGAAUAAUUGAGUAUUCCAUUUUAUUUGUUUUUUUUUGGAGCAUGAGGACUUUGGGGGAUUUAUGUCCCCUUGAUAUCGUAUUGCUACUGGCAGCACUAUUCAGUUUUGCAAUUUUAGUUUACUUUUAUAGCUAAUUGUUAAGCUUGUGACAAGGCAAUCUUAGUUCCUACAUGCCUUGCGAGGUCAGCAAACUUCAUUGUGCAUUUGAAGUUGGCAACCUCACGGAAGGUACUAACUUUUGUCAUAUGCAAGCUUUAGAGGAAUAUAUGUUUCGGAACUGGUUGUCAUCAGAGUAUUCAGAGCCAAUGAAUUUUUUGAAAGAUGCAGUAACUGUUAUGAAAUUCUUGCAAUUAUUUGUUUACUUGAUUUUUGUGACAUCUCAGAGUUUUCUUUGGGUGACAAUGCGACUAGAUGUUUAUGAUUUCCAUGGUAAAGAGCUUUCUCUUCAGCUGCACAAUGAUGGAAGCUCGGGCAGUCUGGAAAGUUCCUAAGGUAAAUAACUGGCUGGACUAUUUUAAAGUUACAUUUAUUUGAUGACGGCAUGGCUUAAUAGCUUUUCAGCUUUCUAAAGACUCAAAACUACAUUGGCUAGAAUGUCAGUACCCUACAAGAGGUAGAGAGGAAUUUUUUUCUUGCCGUGCAAUCUAAGAGUGGUAAAAUGUGCAAAGAACUGAGAUACAAUUAGUUUUCUGCCACUUGGAGUAGAAGAAUUACUUCCUCUAUAUACAGGAACUUUCUCUAUAACUGGAGCUUGCCCAGGCACACCCGCAGCUUACAACUGGAUUUUCUGAUUUAUAGUACUGAGCUCCUUUGAAGUAUUUGGUUUGCAGCAGGGCCUCCAUUAUUCCUGUGCUGCCUACCUAUUAGUUUUCAUCUACAGCAUCAAGCCUGCCAUAGAACUACUCUACAGCAUCAAGCCUGUCAUAGAAAAGAAAACAGAUGUUCGUGAUCGCCAGUGUGUUGUCACGUAUGGUUUUAUAAUCCACCAGAUAUUACGAUUAUAACUAUAAACAUUAUAUCAUGAAUUGGUUAAUUAUGGCAAUGUGGUUUAUGAAUUGGAUGCACUAGAUUAGUGUGGAUUCUGGAGCAAGUUCUUUGUCCUUUAAAUUUGAACUAUCCUAUUCCAGUUCUAAUAGUUCAUCUGAGAAAUAGAGAUUGAAAGGAUGUAUAUAUACAUGCAUUGCCAAACAUUGUGUUUGCUUGUUCUAAGAAUGCUUUUCUAUUGUGAAAAAAUGAGGUUAUGUGAUUA